AGAAAUGAUCUCUUAUAGAUUAACAUUCCGUGUUUCUGUCGUAAUAUCGUAAGUUUAAUGGGAAUAGCAUUGGAGGAGAUAGAUCGAACAACGACGUGAAAGUAUGCAAAUCUCGAUAAAUAAAUAAAUAAAUAAAUUGGCAACCUUGCAACGUCAUACUUGGGGACUCGAGAGAUUUUUUAAUAUCUCCCCUUUCACAGAUAUUUUUAACAAUUGCGAAUUUUAAAACGAUCUUCCCUUUCGAGAUGUUUCAGCAAAAAUACUUGGUAUUAUGAACGUUUACCCUGGGAAAUUUCGAGGAAGCCAGUGUGUUUCGAUAAAAUCAGACGUGUGCGGAUAAAAUAGAAAUAGAUCGGAAGCGAGUAAGUGAAUCGAUACGGGGAAUCAGCAAUUGGCGAUGAAUACGCGAGUUCCAGCGAGUCGGUAUCCAUCGUCUGGACGGAAGAUUAUUACGGUACAAUGGCAUGAUAGAUUUAAGGCUGGCUAGGAUUAAACGAGCGUUGAUUCGAACACAUUCUACAGCAUGUGAGCAAUAUAAAGAGGCAUUGCAGGAUUGGCCGCACAAGCGUUACGUGUUCUUGAUGCAACGCACGUCGGAAAAUGGAGCGUGGCUAUUUAACGUCGAUAGUCAAACGUUCGCGUAAUUGUACUUUGCAAGUGACGACUAAGCGCGAUCACGUACGAAUAGAUAGAAUGAUUUCAUUCGUGUAACUCGUUUUAUUGUCUUAAGGAUGUUUCGUGACACGAGGAGGAUAUUAUUUAUGAAAUUUGAACGGUAGAAAAUAAUUCUUGCACAGACAUCGUAGAUGUUCGAGCUAAAAAACAAAGUAAAUCUCUGUUUCAAGCUUUCUUUUCUUUUGCAAAAGAAAUUCUUCUCGUCUAAAUGAUAUUAAUUAAUCGUUGAAAUUUAUUAAAUGUUUAAACGGUGUCAACAGUUUUGAUUAAGACGGGGAAAUCGUUGACGUUUCAACGAACAAACUUUUCCGUGGCGCGAAAGGAUCUAAAAAUGUCAGGAACUCGAUACUUUAAGAUCGGGUCAGGAAGAGAUCGGAUUGCCGAAAGCAAUCUCGUGACUCAAGAAUGCCGGGAUCCCAAAGAAUUUCGAGAACUCGAACGAUCCUCCAAGACUAGCUUUAUUGAAUACCGCUAUGGUUUCGGAUUCUCGAUCUUUCAGACGUUUUAAGAAUCCUGCAUAAUAAAAUUCUCAACAAGUUCAACGUUCUCGAGUCACGAGCUGUCCCCCCCCUGCUGGAAUUCGACUCGAUUCCAGCAGAAAUUUUCGAUUUGACUUAAUUCGAAAUCUCUGCAUUCCCGCCCACCUCUGUUCCAAUCAACGAUUUUGCAAAAUUUUUUCAAUCGAACGGAAAAAUGAUGAGAAAAUUUGAUAUCAGAUGGAAUCACGAUGAAAAAUCUCGACUUCCUUAAGAUUGACGCACGAUUCGAUAGCGGAGCGACUCGCGGCAGAAACGAGAUUAGCGCGAAGCGGAAAAACGUGAGCGAAGCUCACCGCUGUUGCUGGGAAACGAAAAAAACCGAUAAGCCGACAGUUUCACUCGAUUAAGGGGAAAAAUCAAUUUUAUCACGACUCGGCCGUUUCAUUUCCAUUUUGAACAAAAUGUUGUUCGAGCUUUUAACAGGAUUCGCCUCUCGAAAAAAAAAAAAGAAAAAAAAAACGCGUGGAUAUAGAAUUUGUGAAACACCUUUUCUAGGAAUAAAAGAUGUUCGUUCGAAGAUGGAUGAUUAAAAUCGAUGGAGGAUUACUGGAGGGGAAAGAAAGACGAGAAUUCGUGCGAAACGAUCAUCGAGCAGCGAGCGACGAAAUGGGUUUUCUAUUCUUAAUCGCGAUUUUCACGAGAAAUGUAUUGCGACUCGAAUUUAAAAAUAGUUCCUUGCUUUCGAGCAUAUAUCAAGUUAGAAAACUGAUCGUGAACUUCGCGUUACUGCUAGUAAACGUAGGUACGUAUGGUUUCUUUUGAAAUGGAAUUAUAUAGCGAGAUUUUACGAUGUCGAUAUGUAUCUUCGAGGAAAUAUUACAUCCAAAUAUAUUCCAUCCUUCAAAAUAUGCUCCUUCGACAUUUUUGAUCUUUUGAAUAUCAAAAGUCCGUUACUUUCCUAUAAUUAUAGCUAUACAUGAUAUUUGUUGAAUUUUCCAUUAAUUUCUUUUUUUCUUUUUUUUUCAACGCCCUAAUGUUGACGAUUCUGAACUUUCGCAAUUUUGAUACGAUCAUUUUACGUGUAAAUAACUAUAGGAUGUUCAGUCAUUUAACUAACUAACUUGGCCUGAUGUAAUCGUACAAUUACAUUGACUCGAUUCGCAUAAAUGAUGGGAAUCUAACGGGUCAGGCGUCAUUUUCGAACGACACUCUGGUGCGAGAGUUCAUAAUUACGUCACCAGUAUAAUUUCAUACCUGGAGUCAACUCGUAAACUCGACGACCACCGAACCAUCGAACCAAUCAACCAUCGCGUUGCAUACUCCGCGCGAGAACAUUCGAAAUGUACUUCUAUUAGCGUUCCAUCCGGACAAAAUUAAAUUCCGAAUUUGAGAUUAUCGUUUGAGCAAUUCUGCAACAUCUUUCCACGACUCUAAAAAUCCGAUUUUGUUGCGACGAAAUUUUACUUCCCCUCUCCUAUCGAUCGGAUACGCUCUGUCAUGAUUAUUUUUUCAGAGCGAAAUAACCAGCUGAUCCACUCCUUAUCGGUAAUCCCGUUUCUAUAUUGAAUGUGUUCAAGACACAAGAUAAGAUUGUACGCGCAAAGGCACGAGAAUUAACAGAAUCGAAUUAACAGACUGAUCUGAGAUCGGUAAUCCUCACAGUCUGUAAUUAUAUUUCGCAGAAGUGAACUCUGUUCGCAUGUACGACUCUUUUGAUUAUUUCCACGGAUCAAACCAAUGGAUCGUACGACACACUUUUCGAUCCAUUAUUUCCUAGAAUUAAGAAACGCGGCCAUGCGAAAAGAAAUCAAGAAUCGUUAAAAUCGCAAUUUUCUCCAUAAUUUAAUACAAUCACAUGCUCGACGCUGUCGACAAUUACAACUGAUCCUUCGAGCUGUUUAAUUUGGCAAAGCGUCACGUGGCCGAAUCGAGAGAAAGAACGUGGUGGUUUCGAGAGAGAGAGAGAGAGAGAGAAAAUUGCGAAAACCGGUGCACCGGUUUCAAUUUUUUCCCCCUCUCCCCCGAAGGACAAGUUUUCCGCCUGUUUGACGCCGCCACUCCGCACAGAGACGAUCACGACGAUCACUUUGUGCACGUGCACGGAACGAGGGCGCACAGAGAGGUAAUGGACGACCCAGCGUGGUAAAUUGCACAAUUUAUUAGUUAUUAUGAGGAACAUGCAUGCGUAUUUGCAUGUAUCGUUUAUGAGUCGGGCGAUCGUAAAGGGUGGGACGUGGCCGUUUAAACUGCAAACAUCGGAACUUUCCGAACGUUGUAGGGGCAGACGGUAGCUAACUUGGUUAAAAGUUUGAUAUACGAGUUUAAAAAUUGUCGGGACUUGUUGUUGUUAGUUUGUCGCAAAAUAAAAUCGUGUUUUUUUUUUCUUGAAUAAGUUUAAUAAUUCGAAGAUUGAUAAAGUACAUUUGCUAAAUUAAUAAUAUUCGAGAUGUUUACAGACUCUCGCGAAAAGAGUUUUUGAGAAUUGCCUUUUUUUUAAUUUAACGUAAGGAAAACUUUGAUCGCUUCUUUCGUAAGUAAAAAUACGAGGUCUACAAACUUUUAGAGAGAUACCAACUAAAAUUAAAUCUCUUAUUCAAUAAUGCAACGUGAACGGGUCUUCGUUAUUCCGACAAAGAAAAAACGGUAAAACGAUAGCACGAACGAGUAUAUAAUUGAAUGAAAAAUGGGCUUGUACUAGUCUGACUCUCAGAUACAGAAUUAUGCACUCCGAUAUAAUCGUAUUAUCGUAUUUCUAACGAGAAAAUAUUCGAGCCGGUUGCAAUUAUUUAAAAAAACUCUUUUGAAAAAUAUCGAAGGAGAUAUUUAACGCAUAAUAUUUACAACAGGUGCAUUUUUUUUUUAUUCCUGUCCUUGCGUUUCGUGGAAAUUUGAAAUUGACGAGCAAAAGGCGGGAGAAGUACGGAUCGAUAAUGCGCCGAUUGAUCUGCAGUAAUUAAAUAUCUAAAGGCAACGUCGUGAGCGUAACUUGCUUUACUCUGCGCCGGUACCACGGUAAAUUUUGUUAUUUUCACAGUAUUUUAAUUAAUUUUCAUACUGUCAAUAUUUAGUCGCGUAAUUUCCACGCAAUAGAUCGUGCAAACACAACUGUUGUUUGCUUCGUCGAUGAACCAAGUAUGAGGAAAGAAAGAGAGAGAGAAAAAAAAAAAGAAGUGAAAGAAGAAGAACUUGCUUGAACUUCAACUUGGUCUCUACACACUCGAAGAUAUACUCGAAGGACGUUGCUUUCUUUCGGCAUAUGAUUUAUUCCUUUUGGCGAGAAGACGAUAAUUUGCAUAUUUUAAAUAAUGCGUAUCGAGUUAUUUUUAAUAAAUUUUUAAACAAUAACGUAAUUAUAAUUUUAUUAUAAAUUUUGAGGUCGAUAUUUCUAACGUAUUUAUUAAUCACAAUUACAAUUUACAACCAAAUAUCUAUCAAUUAUUUCAGUUAAUUAUCCAAAGAAAUGACGGAGUCGUAAAAGUAAAAUAUUCAACAGUGCAUUACGAAACAAUAUUUCCGCGUAAUAAAACACGCCGUAUAAGAAGGAUUAUGUAUAUAUGUAAGUACAUUGUUGUAUGUAACCACUUAAUACAUUCAUAAAAUUCAGUUGCCAUUUUAUCACGAACCAUAUUCGAGUUGUUUGUUAUUCGUUUUUAUCGUAUUACACAUUGUUGCAUAAGCAUUGUUUAUUUUUUAAUAUAAUAAAGUAUUUAUCCUGCUUGUUAAUUUUUCAUUCUUCUAAUUCAUUCUGACUAAUAGGACUAAGAUUAGAUUAACGAAGAAUAAUUUUUUUAAAAUAAAAAAUAGUUUAUUACAAAUUCUAAUGCUAAUUUCGCUUUGAAUAUAUCUCGUUGAAAACAAGAUUAAAUUGCUCUUAACGUUUCCACCCAAACGUAACAGUCCUUCUAAAUUCUCGAUAACACGUCCCAACAAUGCCAACAAAUUCCACAGAAGACCUUUCCUCCUUUUAAAGGUUAACAAUUCACGUUUUACACAAGAGAAACAUGGCGCAUCCUUGCAAUACGAUAGAAUGAUCUUCGUUCCAUUCUCAACCCGAGUAUUCAUCCGAUCAAGAAACUCUCCGUCUCUCUGUAUUCGACAAAUACGAGAAACAUUGUGAAAACAUUUUAUUUUGAGACAUAUAAUUGCAUUCAUAUAAUUUAUAAUUAGAUUCAUCAUCAUUUGAAUUUUGUUUCAAGGCUACGUUUAUCUUUAACAACAAAUAUCCAAGUCACUAUACAGAUAUUUUCUAUUUUUCCUCGAUGAUUAUCAUUUUGAAAAUAGAUAAAUAAAUUUUUCCACUGGUAAUAGAAAUUUGAAGAAACAUUCGGCGAGGGCAAUACAGCUUUGGUCAUUUUUUUUUCAUGGUUAUACGUGGAAAACACGAUAAAAACUUUGUUGGAAAUUUGCUUUCGCAUACGCUUAAUAAACAGCCCAAAUUACUAUACUUAACGGCGUCCGAGGUUACAAGCUAUCACCGGAUCGAUUGACCGGCUAAAGUUGGAAACCCCUAUUGGUCGGAUAUUUAGGGUGUGUAACACAUUCGAUCAGAUUGAAAAUAUCUCUAUGGAAUUUCUCUUCCAUUCCAUUUUAAUUAGAUAAAAAAAAAAGAAGAAAAAAAUAUACAAUUCAAUUCACACUAGAACGUAGAACGAACACAGACGCUUAAAUUCUCUAAUAGAUAAAAAUGGUCACGAACGAAACGUGUCACGUUUUCCCAGAAGACGUUUGUCCGUGAAAAAGCAGCGAACUGCACGAAUUCGCUUUCACGGAUAUACACGCGAUCGUUGCAAAACCGAUCAAGGACCUCUGGCUGUGCGAACCGACCGGCCUUGAAUUAGUAGAUAUUCGAUGACUGACGAACAUAUCGUGCACGCGUAUCCGGAUUACUCGUGAUCGUGACACAGAAAUUCUGCUUCGAAACGAAAGCGGAAUCGCCCACAUGCCCGCCUCCUGUGUUUCUCACGGAUAUCGAAAGUGACGACCGCGUCUCGUCUCGACUCUUCCCCACGACUCGACACUUGUCGUUCGAGGUUACGCACUUUUUCGCUUUUCACCGUGACGCGGGGAAAAAUAUGCUCGUUAUAUUCAGAGCAGGGUAUGCUUCCAGGAAUCUUAAUGGCGGAUUUGAACGUUAAACACGGCGGGGCUGGUUCGUUAUGCACGGUUAUUUUCGGUCGUCUAUUAAAAUUUCCACCGGUCGUGCUCGCGUGGCGAAUAGAUUUCAGAGUGGGGGUUUGUUCUUUUCGUUAAGGAAAUUUUUCCCCGACUUCAGAUGGGCCAUGACAAAAAAUUAGCGAGCAAUUGAAUCGCUUCGAGAAAAUUUCUACAAAUUUUGCAACAGGCUUUAAUAAAAGUUCGAAACGAAGGAUUUAUUACGAUCAGACCUUUUUUUUUUCUUUUUUUUGUUAAUUACAUAGGAAAGUUCGCCAAGACCACGUCGCGUCACGAGUAUAAGCUGUUCCAAAUUUGUUCGACAUCGAAUGUUAAUAACAGGGACGUUUCUCUGGCCGAAUACGUCGAUUAACCUGCAUUUAAAAUUUCAACAUCGACAAGUUUGAUCCGUUGCCGGUAUUUCGCGCAGAAGCGACGUCGUUGCUCGCGUGAAAAAGAAACUGGGUUAAUUGAUGCGAGCUCGUGGCUCCCUGGCGGAGAGAAACAGCGAAUUCCACGAUCGAAAGUCACGAUUCCGCCAACCCUCUGGAACGUGGCUCGUGUCAACGGGGAAUCGCGUUUCACCUAAUCCUAAUUAAAAAUCGCCAUGUUUUUCCAACAAAUAUGUUUCCCCUCUUCCCCUCCCUUUUUUUGCAAUUUCUCCUUCUUGCCGCAAUCGACGCAUCGACGCACUUUACAUUGCAAAUAAGGAGACCGGUCACGGGAAUGAUUUUUCCUUCGUUCGUUGGGGGAAAAAAAAAAGAACGUUGGAGCAAACGUAUAGAAUGAAACGCGACAAAAACGCCUAUUAGUUGUUACGUGGCACGCGUUAUUAAAAUUCAGGGCAAUGCAUUAAUGAUGGUGUGAUAUAUAGAAUAAGAAAACAUUUCUCUGCGUCUAAUAUUGAUAUUAAAGUUAAUUGAUAUUAGUUUAACUUGGACUGGUCUCCAGCAAUAAAAAUUGUCAUGCAUCCAAGGAUCGCAACAGCUGACUAUGUUUCACAUUUUUGCCAGAUUCCAGAUUAAAUUUUCGCGCGGUUGCCUCAUGCGGCCACACUCGGUUGCGUACCGUUCAUCAUCCUCUGUCAGCCUACCACCUGUUUCCGUGCUUUAUUCAAGAAGCCAGUAGACCGAAAGGCGAUCGUCAAUCUGACCGGAAGAUUCAUCGGUACCGGAAGGGGCCCGUGAAACCCGGUGCAAUUAAUUAAGAUGGAAUUAUGCCGCCAUUACGUUCACGCCUGAAGAAGUAGAAAAGUUCGAAGGAACGAUCGAAAUCUACGAUCGUUUCGCCUUUCAUUGCAUGCACUUUCGAAACUCUCGAAUUUCCUUUUCGGCCCGACAUUCUCUUUUCAUUCGUGAAAUUUCUAUGAAAUUACAAUACGUAUGAAAAUCUUUGGAGAAAGAUUUCGAGAAAUGAUACGCGAGAGGAUGUGCUUAUAGGAAACUUAGACUCGAAAAUUUAAUAAACUCGCGCCUCUCCGCCGAAAAGAACUUCACUCGUCUCUAUAACUUACCUCCUUCAAAAGGCAAAGUUCGCUCAUUUCAUCCUCUUCUUAUCUUUCUACUCUCUCUAUUAUUCUCCUAUCUCCCCGAUAGAGGUUUAAUUAACGGCGGAUAAAGGAGAAAUGUUUGCACGAUCACUUCUUCUCGUCGAACCACCGAAACUGCCCACCUAAACCUUACGAAUUUCGAACUCGAGUAACGAAGAAGAGCGCUCGUAAAACGAAACGAUAGUGCGUGGGAUCGUUCCUUUUCCUUUGGAAUUCACGGCCUUACGGGGAGUUUACCUCUCCAUCGAAUUUCGUUGCCCGCCUCCCUCGGACUUUUCAUUAAAAUUUUACGACGUCGACCGAAGAACAACGCGAUAUUUCUGACAUAUUCCUCAGAAUUUCGUCUUUGUCGUCACGCGUCUGUGCAAAGGCCCAUUUAUAGGAUAAGUUGAUAUUCCAACGGGGUGGGGAUUUAAAUCAUGCCCGAUUAUGAAUUAUUAUUUUUCGUAUUAAAAUUUUAUUCGAUAACAGAGGAAAUUUUAUAUACGCACCAAUUUAGUUAUAUCAUCAAAUCUAUAAUUACGUCCUCUCUUAUUUGUGCAAUGGGAUCAAAGGGAAUAGAAUUGUUGUGGAAAAGAUUUUAAAAAUGGACGAGGAGAUUGGUUGCGCGGAAACGGAUAAUGCAAAUUGAUUUAAUUAAUAUUAAUAAAGCGACCGAACUUGGUUUCCUGCCGCGAACUACACAUUUCGCGUAUUAACGUGUUAUAGCGAAUCUUUUUUAAUAAAUUUCUGAGAAAACGAGGCGGAGCAAAUAACGAAGCGUAACGCAAAGAAUGAAAACGGAAUUAUACCGUGGCUUGGUAGUAUUUUCAAUUAAGAAAAUGGAAUGAUAACACGGUUACCAAAGUAUCUUGUGGAUACAUUAUCUCUGCAUGGGAAACCAGCAUUAGAGAGGAUGAAAAAAAUAUGGGAAUUUCCAUAAAUGCUACGGUACGAUACUCGUUACUGAAUUAACGAUAAUUUAACAACGCCGAUAAAUUUCGCAAAAUUACAGUGUAUCGUAGAAACCCAUUCAUUUAAUGGAGACAAUUUUCCUCUCUGUCUUCGUCGUGUUUUCAUUCGUCGCGAUUUUUUUAUCCGAAUCACGAAAAAAAAAACACAAAUAAAUCGAAUAUUACGAAUAUCGAUCGAGUAUUUUUUUUAUUAUCCUCGAUCCACCAAGAAAUCUUUAUCCGUUUUGAAAGAAAAUUCUUCCAAUGUAAAUAAAUAUAGAGUCGAUCUGAAAACGAUGGAAUAACUGAAGGGAAACUCGAUCAAUUUCCUAUUCGGAACUCGAGUUGAAUAAGCAAUUCAUAAAUCGCGAUAGAUCGAUCGCGAUAGAUCUCCACGGAUUCAGAGAGACAUCGAGGAACGCGGAGAAGCCAAUGAAUAAGCUUUAUCUCGAGUUAGACGUCUUCGAAUCGCGGCAACGAUAACAAAGUUAUCUGCCCUAGUUUACGAUGUUCUUCACGCAUGCGUGCUCCAAGAGUGCAGAACCAUCAUCAUCCCCUACGAGCAAUCCUUGAAAAGAACCAGUGAUUGGAACAGUUAUGCAUACAGAUUUUUAUCCAACGAUUCAUUUGCAUCUGACGAUCUUUAUAUCUCUUUACUCGAUCUUUCUUUUUUAGGAAAUUUUUUAAAUUUAACAGUUAUCUCGAAUUGAACGCGGUUGCUUUUAUACUUUUAUAAUUAAUAUUCAUCUCUGUGUGACGUUAUCUUAUGCCUCGCCACCGAGUAUCGCAACAUCGAGUACGUGAUUAAAUACUUGAGACUGUUCCGGAUAUCGAUCGGAAUGGGUUAACCGGUGAAACAGCCUGCAAAGCGGAACUCUUUCCCAGAGAGUGUCUGUCCCUUCCUGUAAUUAACCCCUCUUUGCCGGAACGUUAACUCGACAGACGAGUUCUCGAAUCGCAUCUCGUUCCUAUCGUUCACAGCUCGGAAAAAAAAUCGUCUUUUGUCUCGAUUUUUCUUAACUUCUCCCCAUUUUUUUUUUCAUCCCGUUAUCCCAGAUAAUUUUUCGCUCCUAAUGAUCGUCUCUCUCUCGGUCGACCGGAUUUGACUUGGUCCGUGAUCGAUGACGAGCCGAGGAAAUCGCGAUCGCACAAUAGGAUCGAGAUCCCAUUGUAUGCGUAAUCGACGAGCCGUGCAUCCUUCGAGAUGCACGUCGAUUUCGAGAUACGUUUCGCCGACACGUGAACGCCGAUCCGUAUCACGGCGUACAUCGUGUGAUUCAUGUAGAUCGGCGUUUCAGGAAUGUCGGCCGCGCGCAAUAAGUCGCUGUUUUAUUAAUUAUCCGAUCGAUUUUUUUUUUUAAAAGAAAAUUCCGUCCCGUUCGCGGAUGCGUGAUGAAAAAUAAAUUUCGAAACGAUCGAUUGCGAGAUCGAUUAAAAAUUGGAUUCUUAGUGAUUUGCCACUGAACUUUGAACUCUUGAAAUUUUCUUUUCAGAAUUUCGAUCGAAUAGCCACGAUUACAUCACUAUAUAAGUGUGACUUAUCGCGUUAUGUAGUUUACGUAAUGUUUAAUGCGCUUCAUUGAUCGAGUUAAUCGGGGUACGGGGAAUUAUUAUUUUCAUUUGAUCACUGCGCAUUUUAAGACGUUCUUUGUUAUCGCUUUAAUUAUAGAUGUAUAUAUAAUUUGUUAUAUAAUUUAUGGUAAAAUUCUUGAUAUCGUAAAACUGAAUUUCUUAAGUAUCAUCGCAUUUAUUCAAUCCGUGUUAUAGCGAUUUAUUCAUUUUUAAAACAAACAGGCGGAGGCUAUAAAACGAUGAUAUCACAGUAUCACGCGUGCUAGGAAAAAGUUAGAAAUAUUUCACAACACUGUCCACGCGUAUAUGUUGAACAAAUAUUAGAGAAUAUCGGAAAAUUCAGAAAUUACAUCUCUCGUACAGAACGAACGAUAUACGAACGAGAAAACAUAUUCCAACAUUCCAUAUGUGCAAGUUUGAUUAAAAUAGAAAUUUUUUCCUUCGUGUAAUUUAAUUGAUCGUAAUCCACGAAAAUAUUCUCGUGGAAUAAAAAGUGAAUCUGCGUUUUUAUUCUUAAUUAAAACAAAUAUUAAUCAUCAAUUUUAUUUCCGUAAUAUCUUCCGUAAUAUAUCAGUUGAUUUAUCGGGUAUUUUUAAAUCGUUGAAAAAUCUAUUCGCAAAACAAGCGAGUAAAACAAUUCUAAAUAAUAAAAUAAUAAAUAAUAAAAUAAAUUCGAAUGAUGGUAAAUUUAUAUCCUUUCCAUAAAAGCAAUCGAAAUGAAAUUUUUCGCGAAACUUAACUUCGCGAAAAUUAGACGUCUCUCCAAGCAUCGAAAUAAGAUUUCAUCGGGCGCCAUUUAUGAAAAGCAUGCAGCUCAUCUACGCCGCGAUUCACACGCGUGGAAUUUCAAUGGAAUCCGUUCACGAAGUGAUACCAUUACUGGAAUUACACUGAUCAGAAUAGGCAGAAAAGCUUCACUCUCUAUUGACGAUCUAAUAAACAAAUGUCUCUUUGAUUUUUUUUUCUCGUGUUCGCGAUAUUUCAAUUCAGAAAACGAACUUUCGAUUCCGAAUACAUUUUACAUUACCCUUAAUCCUACGAUAUAAUUCUCCACCGUCAUUUUAAAUAUUACGCAUAAUUUUGACUCGUUUCUGACCUUUAUCAGUCGACGCCUAUUAAUUUAACGCUUUUGAAACGAAUAUCAAAGAAGGCAGAAACACUGGUAUCUCACGUUUGUGUUCGUUCUUCAGAAUUUCCCUUCAGACAGGAUCUAAUUAAGCUAUUCACGAACCAUACAAAACUACCUUUUAGAAUCAGAACUACGUUUCCGCUAAUUAACUAACAUCGAUCGUACAGUUCCAUUCUCGAAUAGCCAAUUUCCAGGAAGCGAAAUCUAAUCCAAACUGGUCGUUAAAAUUCGUUGCAGUGACAAAAAGGAUAUCUCUCUAUUCGUCACUUCGUCCCUCCACGAGAGAGAGAGAAACAGCAUUUCGAUUCGAGACCUAUCACUGCCCAUUGUAAAUCGUGUGCGUUUUUCAUUCUCCGGCCCGUUUCAAGUCCACGGAUUCGAGCCCAUUGUUCGAGUCUACAGCAGUCGUGUAUCGAUCACCGAUUCACGAUAGUUUGGCGAAUCGAGAUCGGUGUCGAAAUCGGCGGGAAUGCCAGGAUUGAAAAUCGAGAAUGGAAUCCAUGGAAUUUGGACGGGAGAAAAGACCGUCUGUGAUGUUGGUUCCUUUUGUCGAGCGGAACGAGGCGAGUAGAAAGCGAGAUGCGGUUGCAACGUGGAAUGGGGCAGUAGAAUUCCGCGAGAAGUGGAAUUUAUCGAGUGUUAUGGAAACAAUCGAACGUUCGUUAGAUACCCUCCAAUCUCUGAUUUGUAUUAUAAGUAUAACCAGCUGAGUGUACUCUCUCGACCUCGUUAAUGCGAUAUCAAGAUAUCUUGAAAAUAUAAAAUACUUUCACAGAUA